AUCACACAUGCACGCAGAAAAUAUUGCCGCCAUGAUUCAUUCGCCGAGCAGGAAGCGGGAUGCGCAAUCCUCCGGAGGUGCCGCCGCUCUGGCAUCGUUGGAAGAGAUCCCCCGAUUGCUGCAGCUUAAUCAAUCGCUCCUCGAUGUUAUGGCACAAAAACCUGCUUCCGCCCCCCACCGUGACUCUCCACAAGAACAUAGCAUCGCUGCUGCUGGAGGCGCCUAAAUCCUCCACCGGCGAUGACGCUGGGCUGUUCCAAUCGUGUCCCCGUAGUUUAAUUAGCCCCCCCUCGACGGCCUGUGCCAUUGGUGCUGGGAUUGCCAUGUGCGUGCUUGCUGGAAGUUCUUGGUGUUUGGGUGACCCGCCCAUCCUAAUCCAAGCCAGCGGAGACACACUCUGAGGAGUUCUUCAGUUUUGGGUGACCGGCUCAUCCUAAUCCAAGCCAGCGUAGAGACCCUGAGGGCAGAUGAAGCAAAUUCAGGGGAGAUUAACAGCAUCGGGUUCCGCACCACACAAGAUGAAUGGACCUUCGAUGUUAGCGCGGUCACUCGGGCAGCAGCUUCACAACCAGCUGCAGGAGCCGAUGCACAGACACAUCCAUCAGCACCCCCCCC